CAUGCAAGUCGAACGGUAACAUUUCUAGCUUGCUAGAAGAUGACGAGUGGCGGACGGGUGAGUAAUGCUUGGGAACUUGCCUUUGCGAGGGGGAUAACAGUUGGAAACGACUGCUAAUACCGCAUAAUGUCUUCGGACCAAACGGGGCUUAGGCUCCGGCGCAAAGAGAGGCCCAAGUGAGAUUAGCUAGUUGGUAAGGUAACGGCUUACCAAGGCGACGAUCUCUAGCUGUUCUGAGAGGAAGAUCAGCCACACUGGGACUGAGACACGGCCCAGACUCCUACGGGAGGCAGCAGUGGGGAAUAUUGCACAAUGGGGGAAACCCUGAUGCAGCCAUGCCGCGUGUGUGAAGAAGGCCUUCGGGUUGUAAAGCACUUUCAGUUGUGAGGAAAAGUUAGUAGUUAAUACCUGCUAGCCGUGACGUUAACAACAGAAGAAGCACCGGCUAACUCCGUGCCAGCAGCCGCGGUAAUACGGAGGGUGCGAGCGUUAAUCGGAAUUACUGGGCGUAAAGCGCACGCAGGCGGUUUGUUAAGCUAGAUGUGAAAGCCCCGGGCUCAACCUGGGAUGGUCAUUUAGAACUGGCAGACUAGAGUCUUGGAGAGGGGAGUGGAAUUCCAGGUGUAGCGGUGAAAUGCGUAGAUAUCUGGAGGAACAUCAGUGGCGAAGGCGACUCCCUGGCCAAAGACUGACGCUCAUGUGCGAAAGUGUGGGUAGCGAACAGGAUUAGAUACCCUGGUAGUCCACACCGUAAACGCUGUCUACUAGCUGUGUGUGUCUUUAAGACGUGCGUAGCGAAGCUAACGCGCUAAGUAGACCGCCUGGGGAGUACGGCCGCAAGGUUAAAACUCAAAUGAAUUGACGGGGGCCCGCACAAGCGGUGAGCAUGUGGUUUAAUUCGAUGCAACGCGAAGAACCUUACCUACACUUGACAUGCUGAGAAGUUACUAGGAGAUAGUUUCGUGCCUUCGGGAACUCAGACACAGGUGCUGCAUGGCUGUCGUCAGCUCGUGCCGUGGAGAUGUUGGGUAAGUCCCGGCAACGGAGCGCACCCUGGUCUUAGUGGCAGCCUUAAGUUGGCACUCUAGGAAACUGCGGUGACAACCGGAAGAGGGUGGGGACGACGUCAGUCAUCAUGGCCUACCGUUAGGCUACACUUGCUACAAUGGCAUACGAGAAGCGAACAGUGAUGUGGAACGGACCUUUAAAAAGUGCGUACUCCCGAUUUAGGC
rnacentral:rRNA from 1 species